rnacentral:rRNA from 1 species
UACGUAAGCAGCGAGCGUUGUUCGGAGUUACUGGGCGUAAAGGGUGUGUAGGCGGUUGUUUUAAGUUUGGUGUGAAAUCUCCCGGCUCAACUGGGAGGGUGCGCCGAAUACUGAAUGACUAGAGUGCGGGAGAGGAAAGUGGAAUUCCUGGUGUAGCGGUGAAAUGCGUAGAUAUCAGGAGGAACACCGGUGGUGUAGACGGCUUUCUGGACCGUAACUGACGCUGAGACACGAAAGCGUGGGUAGCAAACAGG